CACAUGCAAGCCGAGCGGCUAUGGAUAGCUUGCUAUCCAGAGAGCGGCGCACGGGUGCGUAACACGUGUGCAACCUACCUUUAUCUGGGGGUAUAGCCUUUCGAAAGGAAGAUUAAUACCCCAUAAUAUAAUUGAUGGCAUCAUUGAUUAUUGAAAACUCCGGUGGAUAGAGAUGGGCACGCGCAAGAUUAGAUAGUUGGUGAGGUAACGGCUCACCAAGUCUGUGAUCUUUAGGGGUCCUGAGAGGGAGAUCCCCCACACUGGUACUGAGACACGGACCAGACUCCUACGGGAGGCAGCAGUGAGGAAUAUUGGACAAUGGGUGAGAGCCUGAUCCAGCCAUCCCGCGUGAAGGAUGACGGUCCUAUGGAUUGUAAACUUCUUUUGUACAGGGAUAAACCUACCCUCGUGAGGGUAGCUGAAGGUACUGUACGAAUAAGCACCGGCUAACUCCGUGCCAGCAGCCGCCGUAAUACGGAGGGUGCAAGCGUUAUCCGGAUUUAUUGGGUUUAAAGGGUCCGUAGGCGGACCUGUAAGUCAGGUGCUGAAAUCUCAAUAGCCUUAACUAUGAAACCGCCAUUGAUACUGCAGGUCUUGAGUAAAU
rnacentral:rRNA from 1 species